rnacentral:rRNA from 1 species
UUCGUAGGCGGUGUGGCAAGUCGGGAGUGAAAUCUCUGGGCUCAACCCAGAGACUGCUUCCGAAACUGCUGUGCUUGAGUGUGAGAGAGGCUCGUGGAAUUGCAGGUGUAGCGGUGAAAUGCGUAGAUAUCUGCAGGAACACCCGUGGCGAAAGCGGCGAGCUGGAUCACUACUGAGCUGAGGAACGAAAGCGUAGGGAGCAAACA